rnacentral:tRNA from 1 species
GCCCCGGUAGCUCAACCGGCCAGAGCGGCGGAUUUCUAAUCCGCAGGUUGGGGGUUCGAGUCCCUCCCGGGGUGCCA